rnacentral:rRNA from 1 species
AGCAGCCGCGGUAAUUCCAGCUCCAAUAGCGUAUAUUAAAGUUGCUGCAGUUAAAAAGCUCGUAGUUGAAUUUCGGGACCAAUAUGUCGGUCGUGCCUCGGUACGUACUGGCAUCGUUGGUUUCUCCCUUCUGACGAACCAUGAUGUCAUUUAUUUGGUGUCGUGGGGAAUCAGGACUGUUACUUUGAAAAAUUAGAGUGUUUAAAGCAGGCUCACGCUUGAAUACAUUAGCAUGGAAUAAUGAAAUAGGACGUUUGAUUCUAUUUUGUUGGUUUCUAGGAUCGACGUAAUGAUUAAUAGGGAUAGUUGGGGGCAUUAGUAUUCAAUUGUCAGAGGUGAAAUUCCUGGAUUUAUUGAAGACUAACUACUGCGAAAGCAUUUGCCAAGGAUGUUUUCAUUAAUCAAGAACGAAAGUUAGGGGAUCGAAGACGAUCAGAUACCGUCGUAGUCUUAACCAUAAACU